AAGAAAUCAACCUUUUUCUUACCAAAAACCCCCAGAGAUAGAGAUAAACAUAGGCAAAGGGUAAGGUAAAAAGAGAAGCUGACUAGAAGGAGGUGAAGGUGUGUAUCACCGCCAAAUAGAAGAUUGGAGAAGAUUGGGAAUGAUAGAACUGCUUCGUUAGAUUACAAAAGCUUGAUUGAAGGUUAUGAAAAGAUGACUCCAGCUGAAAGAGAGCCAAAAUGAAACUUCAACUUUCAGAAAGUGCCCGAAAAGAGGAGACAAAAAGCAUGAGCUCUGGAUGGGAGCGUUUUAACUUCGAUAAGGAUGCCCUUUUGGAUGACGAGGAGAUUGAAGGUUAACUAUUUGUCUGCUAUUGCUUAUACGGACAUUGUCAAAUUUAAUCCUUUUCCUUAUCAUUUGUAGUAGGAUUUGUAUUCUUGCUGCAAUAAGUCAGUGUCAGAGGUUGUUUGGAUGGGCUUGAAAGUUCGUAAAAAUAGCUUUUAAGCAUAUUUUAGCUUAUUAAUAUAGUAAUAGGAUUAACCAUAUAACUAAAAUCAUAUUCCAGGUGUCUUGGGCUGCUCUAGGGAAAGGCUGGACUUUAGUGUUCUUCCUUUAUUUCCAAACUAGUGGUGAAUUUGUUGAGUUAUGCACAUACUGACUUCUCUGUCUCUUUGUAAGCAUGAACUCCUCAAUGUAAUGAUGAUUUCAUAGAAUGCGGCAUUUCUAAUAUACAAACAUUGUGCAUA